UACAUGUGGGGCAAGCGUUGUUCGGAAUUACUGGGCGUAAAGCGUGCGUAGGCGGUUUGUUAAGUCUGUCGUGAAAGCCCCGGGCUCAACCUGGGAAUGGCGAUGGAUACUGGCGAGCUAGAGUACGGUAGAGGAGAGUGGAAUUCCCGGUGUAGCAGUGAAAUGCGUAGAGAUCGGGAGGAACAUCAGUUGCGAAGGCGGCUCUCUGGACCAGUACUGACGCUGAGGCACGAAAGCGUGGGGAGCAAACAGG
rnacentral:rRNA from 1 species